AAUACCUCAUAAGUCUUUACGGAGAAAGCUUUAUGCGCCAUUGGAUGAGCCCGCACUUGAUUAGUUUGUUGGUAGGGUAAUGGCCUACCAAGACUGUGAUCAAUAGCUGAUUUGAGAGGAUGAUCAGCCACAUUGGGACUGAGACACGGCCCAAACUCCUACGGGAGGCAGCAGUAAGGAAUCUUGCACAAUGGAGGAAACUCUGAUGCAGCGAUGCCGCGUGAGUGAAGAAGGCCCUUGGGUUGUAAAGCUCUUUCGUCGGGGAAGAAAAUGACUGUACCCGAAUAAGAAGGUCCGGCUAACUUCGUGCCAGCAGCCGCGGUAAUACGAAGGGACCUAGCGUAGUUCGGAAUUACUGGGCUUAAAGAGUUCGUAGGUGGUUAAAAAAGUUGGUGGUGAAAUCCCAGAGCUUAACUCUGGAACUGCCAUCAAAACUUUUUAGCUAGAGUAUGAUAGAGGAAAGCAGAAUUUCUAGUGUAGAGGUGAAAUUCGUAGAUAUUAGAAAGAAUACCAAUUGCGAAGGCAGCUUUCUGGAUCAUUACUGACACUGAGGAACGAAAGCAUGGGUAGCGAAGAGGAUUAGAUACCCUCGUAGUCCAUGCCGUAAACGAUGUGUGUUAGACGUUGGAAAUUUAUUUUCAGUGUCGCAGUGAAAGCGAUAAACACACCGCCUGGGGAGUACGACCGCAAGGUUAAAACUCAAAUGAAUUGACGGGGACCCGCACAAGUAGUGGAGCAUGUGGUUUAAUUCGAAGAUACGCGCAGAACCUUACCAACACUUGACAUGUUCGUCGCGACUUUAAGAGAUUAAAGUUUUCGGUUCGGCCGGACGAAACACAGGUGCUGCAUGGCUGUCGUCAGCUCGUGUCGUGAGAUGUUGGGUUAAGUCCCGCAACGAGCGCAACCCUCACUUUUAGUUGCCAUCAUUUAGUUGGGCACUCUGAAAGAACUGCCAGUGAUAAGCUGGAGGAAGGUGGGGAUGACGU
rnacentral:rRNA from 1 species